rnacentral:rRNA from 1 species
AAAUUCAGGNNCUCAACCCCUGACCUGCACUCGAUACGGGCAGACUGGAGUUUGGUAGGGGAGACUGGAAUUCCUGGUGUAGCGGUGGAAUGCGCAGAUAUCAUGAGGAACACCAAUGGCGAAGGCAGGUCUCUGGGCCAAUACUGACACUGAGGAGCGAAASCGGGGAGSSAACAGGAUUAGAUACCCUGGUAGUCCGCGCCGUAACGAUGGCCUACUUGUGGG